rnacentral:rRNA from 1 species
CCUACGGGAGGCAGCAGUGGGGAAUAUUGGACAAUGGGGGAAACCCUGAUCGAGCGACGCCGCGUGAGUGAAGAAGUAUUUCGGUAUGUAAAGCUCUAUCAGCAGGGAAGAAAGAAAUGACGAUACCUGACUAAGAAGCUCCCGCUAACUACGUGCAAGCAGCCGCGGUAAUACGUAGGGGGCAAGCGUUAUCCGGAUUUACUGGGGGUAAAGGCAGCCUAGACGGGUAUGUAAGUCUGGAAGGAAAGCCCGGGGCCCAAACCCGGGACUGCUUUGGAAACUGUGUAACUGGAGUACAGGAGGGGGAGGCGGAAUUCCAGGUGUAGCGGUGAAAUGCGUAGAUAUCAGGAGGAACACCGACGGCGAAGGCGGCCUGCUGGACUGAAACUGACGUUGAGGCUCGAAAGCGUGGGGAGCAAACAGGAUUAGAUACCCUUGUAGUC